rnacentral:rRNA from 1 species
GACGAACGCUGGCGGCAUGCCUAAUACAUGCAAGUCGAACGCUUUAAUUUCACCGGGUGCUUGCACCCCAUCGGAGUUAAGGAGUGGCGGACGGGUGAGUAACACGUGGGUAACCUGCCCAUAAGAGGGGGAUAACAUUCGGAAACGGAUGCUAAUACCGCAUAUUUCUAAUCGUCUCCUGACGAAUGGAAGAAAGGUGGCUUCGGCUACCGCUUAUGGAUGGACCCGCGGCGUAUUAGCUAGUUGGUGAGGUAAUGGCUCACCAAGGCGAUGAUACGUAGCCGACCUGAGAGGGUGAUCGGCCACACUGGGACUGAGACACGGCCAG